GGGGCUAUAGCUCAGCUGGGAGAGCGCUUGCAUGGCAUGCACGAGGUCGGCGGUUCGAUCCCGCCUAGCUCCACAA
rnacentral:tRNA from 2 species